CCGCAGGAGCGACCCAAGAAAUAGCAAAAAGGACAAAAAAAAAAAAAAGAAAUGUUAGGCAUAGUGUUCAUUCACUUAAAGAAAGUUAUAUUUAAUGAGGAAUACACAUAGCUAAUUGUUUAACAGACUGUAGCAUCAGUGUUUGUGAGUGUAUGUUGAGCUGAGAAAAGCCUAGCAUUUUAUUUUAUUUUGCUUUUUAGGGCCACACCUGCAGCAUAUGGCAGUUCCCAGGCUAGGGGUUGAAUUGGAGCUGUAGCUGCCGGCCUACAUCACAGCCACAGCAAUGCGGGAUCCCAGAGACGUCUGUGCCCUAUACCACCCCUCACGGUAAUGCUGGAUCCUUCCACCAAGCAGGGCCAGGGAUCAAACCCUCAUCCUUAUGGAUACUAGUUGGUUUCUUUUCCACUGUGCCACAAGGGGAAUUCCCAAGUCUAGCAUUUUAGCAAUGAAUAUAUGUAAAGAUCUUACCUUUUGCCUUUAAGUCGUUUUCUGAUAUUAGAUAUACAUAGAACUUUAUUACAAGCUAUAUGAAAGAAUUUAUAAGCCCAGCCCAACUAUAUUUCAGUGAAAAACUUAUAUGUGAGUCAUGCGUCUUGGAUUGUAUAGCAGAGUUUUUCCAACACUAGAGUUAUAUAGAUGCCUCUUACAGCUACAUGAAGGAAAUUUUUGGCACAUUCAUCAAUGAAAAAGUUAUAUACAGUGAGAAAUGCAUGUGGUGAAUUAUUUAACAGACCUAUAACUUCAAAGUUUCCAUGCAUGCACUGUAGUUAUGAAAAGAAUAGUUUUCUAAUAAGGAAUACAUAUAAAAAUCUUCUGUUUGCAGAUGAAGCUAUAUUUUCAGAUAUGAUAGAUUGUCAUUACAAGCCAUAUGAAAGAAAUUUUAGGCACAGUGUUCUUUCAGUGAAAGGAAAUUAUAUUCUGUGUCAUGCAUGUAGUAGACUUUAUAAUUUUGUAAUAACCUGUAGCUCUAAUGUUUAUAAGGCUACUUUGACUCUGCAUGAAGUCCAGUGUUCUAACAGCAAAUAGAUGUGAACACCUUUUGAGUCUGUGUAAUAAUGUACUAAAUUUGAUAUAUAUUGAUGUUUGUUACAAGCUAUGUGAAAAAAUUUUGGACAGUGUUCUUUCAGCUAAUGGAGGUGUCCUGCAGCGAGUCUUAUUUAACAAAUUUGUAACACUUGUAAGUAGGAUUGCUUAGAAGCUACAGUAUGUUCAGUGUUCUAAUAGCAAAUGGAUGUGGAAGUCUUUCCCAUUGUAUAUAAAGAUUUGUCACACACACACACAUACAUUGUAGGAAAUUGAAAUCCUUUCCCUUUAUCUGUAAAGGCUUGUUCGCAUGUUAAUAUACAUAUUUGUCAUGAAAUUAAUUUUUGGCAAAGUGUUUUUUCAGUGAAAGGAGGUUGUACACAGUGAUCCAUGUCAGUGAACAGUUUAACAGUUAUAGAACACUUGUGUUUCUAAAGCCUUCUUUAAAUUUUUUCUUUUUACGGCCACACCUGCAGCACAUGAAGGUUCUCAGGCUAGGGGUCUAAUCAGAGCUAUUCCUGCCAGCCUACGCCAGAGCCACAGCAGAGCAGCAUCCAAGCUGCAUCUGCAACCUACACUACAGCUCACGGCAACACCAUAUCCUUAACCCACUGAAUGAGGCCAGGGAUGGAACCCACAACCUCACGGUUCCUAGUCGGAUUCGUUUCCACUGCACCACGAUGGAAACUCCUCUAAAGCCUUUUAAUUCAAAGAGGAACGUGAGAGUUUCUACUUCAUUUAAAUUAGCAAAGGGAAAAAACCCCACAACUCCUGGGCUAUGCUGUAAAUUAAAACGGGAUUUUACUAAAACAACAUUCAAAUCUAUCAUGUGCUAUUUACAAUAAUAAAUAAUAGUCUUUCAAAAUAGGUAAAGGAGUCUUGGGAAUGAGGCAUCAGGGAGAUGGUGCCAGCUCACAUCAAGUCCCUAUGCUGCCUCUCUGCCACAGUGAAUGUCGCAUUGCCACUGGACACACAUUUGCCCCUGAUUUUGAUGAGUGCCAAUUCUUCUUGGCCUUGAGUUUUCUGUUGCCCAGAUAGGACUUGGCCUCCAGCUAGCAGGACAAGAGGUAGGUAUAGGAGAGAGUGGUACCUGAGUUACCAGGAGCCACAAUUCAGGUGUCACUCACAGUGUCUGCCCAGCAGCUGGAAUUCCAGUGAUGGCCAUGCAACAAGGUCUGGGGAUGACCAAGAAGAUGUGAACUUGGGUUCUCUAAAUUGGCUGGUAGGGAGAGUCCACUCCACCUCUCCCUUCUGCUCAGCCUCACCUCCCAUUCUCACUGAACCACUCCAUGUCUCAGAAUCAGACAUCAAAUUGCUCCUCAGGCUCUCUAUCUGUAGCCACCCAGAGCAGCAUGAUCUCUGCCAUUACUGUGCAUUCCUGGGACCAGAGGGAAGGAGAUGAUGGAGGGGUGAGGAGAGAGGCAGGGCAUUGGUCCUGGGUCUUUGCACACACGAGACUCCACCUUCCCUCCAUUUGCAUCAAGGUCCUACCUGUUCUCAGAAAUGGAAUAAAUUUCCUGCAGGAAAUUUUCCUUGGUGCCAUUCCUCAUUCCCACCCACCAGUUGGAUAGUUCUCCCACUCCUCUGUUAUUAAACUCUCCCUGUAAAUGUAAGGCACAGGGGAUGGAGACCUGGAGUUUUCUGCCCAGGGGUACUUCUGAUUUCUGUUCCCUUCCCCUCUUCCAUAGGAAGUGCCAAGCUCUUGCCUUAUUCUUUUUCUGGUGGUUGAUCUCAUUCUCCUCUAAGGUAGACAGACACCUGAAAGUGUCCCCUAGUCGUUACUAGCACCCUAUGCCCACCCUUUUCAUGUGGCACUACCAUCAGGCCUCACAAAGGGGCUGGGCUUGCCUAGAAAACGGGAUGUAAACCUUGGUCAGGUCGUGGCCCCCAAGAGCGUGGGACAUGGAGGCCGAGGCUCAGGGAUCUUGUAGCACAACCCUCAGUGACGACACUCAGAACCUGAGGCUUUAGGCUCCCUCUCUUCUUUGUUGCUGGACUUGUGGGUCCCCCAUAUCACUCUCACCCCAUGGACACCACCUGAAGGAGAGGCUAAGUCCAGCUUUGUGGUCAGGCAGAUCUACUGCUCUGCCAGCCUUGAAAACUGGGACCAGUGUGUAUUCUGUGGAGCCUCCUUUCACUCAUCUUUAAAAUGGACAUGAUGUCCCAGCUCACAGGGGUGGCGGGGAGCCUCUCCUCAGAGGUUUCCUGAGUGCUGACCAUUGAGGGCUCAGCUACAGGUCUCUCUCUUCCCAAACCUCAAUUCUGAUCCCCCUGGCCUAGCCCACAGUCCCCCUUACCUGGCCCAGAUAAUUCUCCCUCACCGGGCCCAGCAUGACCUGAUUAAUGAAGAUUGUGCUAAGGAAGGGGACAGACACCUGUGUCAUCAGGGAGGGGGGUGGGAUGAGCCUCUACUCCCAGAUUUGCCUGGGUACCCUCUCUUGAAAACUCCUCACCCUCAGCUUCUGGCCUUGCCCCAGGUUUUCCUCAAGGAGCAGCCUAGGAGGAGCCUUAAUAAUCUCCUUUCAAUUUCCCUCCCCCAACUCUCCAAGAAUAUAAGACUCCUGUGCAGACCUUCUGUAGCAUCUUCUGGGCUUAAUGGAGGUUCACCAUCAAGGGGCGAACAUGGAGGGCUGCUCCUGUCAGGGCCGAGGACAGGGUCAUUGAGGCCAUACUACCCCCACCAACCUCCCAUUUUUGUCCAGUACCUGAGACCUCAGACCCUGACAUCUGAUCCAUGUUAGCUGAUACUCCAUUCUCCAGCAUGCUCUGAUUCUAGACUAAUCCCACCUCCAAAACUCACUCAGUGUGUGCUUUUGGCCCUGCAGCCUGCCCCUGCUCCCCAUGAGCCUGUUUCUUCAUCUGAAAAGUGUAGGAAUCCCAGCUACCACAAGGGUCUCCUGAAGACUCCACCCUUCGCACUGUGAUGCUGUCAUCAUUGUUCUUGUAUCAGCCUGCAGCUGGAUCGGGACAGAAAGAACCUCACAUUCCUGUCUUCCCUUUUACCUCAUCGCUACCCUGUGAGGCCCGCACCAGAGGCUUAUUAUCCCUCCGCUUUCCAGAUGAGGAGGCAGAGGCCAAAGAGAUGCAGUGAGGCUUAGGGGUCCACAGAGGACAGGCUGCACCUCCUGUUAGCCAGAGGCCCUGUUCCAGCUUCCCUCAUCCACCCCAGUCCCACCUGGAAUGAGAUGUCCUGUCCACUUGACUCUCAAGUUUGUCCAGGCCCCUAUCUGAGUGGAGCUGUGGAUGGAGAGGGAUGGGGUGGUUGGAAGUCUGGUUUUAGUUCCCUGCCUGCCCCAGAUCCGCUGGAGCCUCUGCCACUCAGGCUGGACCCAAAGCCAUGCUGAUGCCUUCCCUGCCCCAGGAUCAGCUUAUAACAUUCCCCUGGAUAGCAGUUUCUUUUCAUCUACUCAGUAACAUAACCCCUGAGGUACCGCCUCUGACUGAUGGGGUAGGAGGUGACAGAAACUUUGCUUGCUCCUUUACGUGAAGCUUCUAAAGUCCUUUCAGGAAAGGUCCACUAAGAAUCCAUAAGAUGCUCAGACACUUCUCAUCAGCCACCUGGGGCAUGUGUCACAGUUAACUAGGCACCCAGGUGAGAAUCCCGACUGUGACUGACUAGCAGCAACUGUGUGCGGGGCACAGUGGGGAGUCACAGACGGCAUGUAUAUCUUGUCUCUAUUCCAGCCAUUUGUACCCAAGGCUGGGCAGUGCAUCAUACACCUGGCCCAUGGGCUUCCCCUGCAGUACCCAUCCUUGGGGCAAGAAGGAUGCACUACCCUUGGAGGUGUGGUGAGUACAGAGGAGCUGCAGGAACCUGGGUUCCUGAGAACAGACUGGGUUGGUUUAGGGAAGAAAGUUGCCUCCUCCCACCCAUCCAUUCAACAGCCUAGAAAAAGCUAAGUGCCAGCAGGAUGGACCAGCAUGGAAGCCAAAGAUCUGCUAAUUUUGUUAUCUCAGCAUCCCCUCCUAGAAUAGCCCAGCCAUCACUUUACCUCAUUACUAAGAUCUCCUGCCCUUCAACCUGACUUUGGACAAAACUCUCCUUCUUCCUCUUAAGCCAGAAAAUACUGGAAUUUUUCAAAGAAUCUUUAGGCAAG
rnacentral:lncRNA from 1 species